rnacentral:rRNA from 1 species
UACGUAGGGUGCGAGCGUUGUCCGGAAUUAUUGGGCGUAAAGAGCUUGUAGGCGGUUUGUCGCGUCUGCUGUGAAAAUCCGGGGCUCAACCCCGGACUUGCAGUGGGUACGGGCAGACUAGAGUGUGGUAGGGGAGACUGGAAUUCCUGGUGUAGCGGUGAAAUGCGCAGAUAUCAGGAGGAACACCGAUGGCGAAGGCAGGUCUCUGGGCCACUACUGAC